CACCACUUUUUGUACGCUAUGCAAUUUUCCACCAUUUUUGGACAUAUUUUCAUUUAAUUAUUAUAUUCUGUAACAAUUGAUCGGUAAUUGUUCUUCUUGAACAACUAGUUGUCAAGAAUAUGUAGGAUAUUGUUGAACAAAUUUAUUUAUUUGGGGGAGACCUUAGGAUUAUACCUAUUAUUUCCGCUGACAUCAUUUUCACUCUCUCUAACAAAAUCAUUUAAUUUCCACAAAAACACGGUUGCAAAAUUGAGUUAUUAUUGAAAGAGAGACUUUCUGAUUUUGUCACCAUGGGAAUCAAUAGCAAAAAUCAUCAAAGUUGUUCUGGUUUGGUUUGGCCACAGAUGUAUACAGGGUCAGUCACAUAAAUUCUCACUGAAAAUCCUCGUGUCACCAUUUCAACUCUGGUUAAUUACUUAAUCUCAUGUGUGCUUUGAUGUUAUAUAUGAUCAGCUUACUUAUUCUAAUUUUAUCAUUGGGGUUUUGGAACUUAUAAUUGUUUGUAUUCAUAGUUCUUUUUCAGGUGCACAAACAUUAGACAUGCUUAUCUUAAUAUUACAGAGACAAAAGCACUCUACGUGAAAUGCUUUUAUGAGUCUUUUUGACCCAAAAUCUUUGCCACAUUAGGGCCCAGAUGGAAAAAUCAGUUCCUUUUGUGAUAAUAUGGUGCGCCCCAAACCACCACCACCCCCCCGCGGCGCCCCUCCUUCUUCUAGGUGGCUUUUUCCCCCCUAGUGUUAGAUUUGAAUGCUACCUUUUCUAUAUUAAAUACGAGUUUUUAUUAUUGCUGAUUGGUGUUGUGGGGCAGAGAAGUCAGUUAGCUGUCUUAUGUUACAUUGUAGGGUUGACUGAGAAUUGUAGAACCUCCUUCUUUCCUUUUUUUUGGGAUUGCUUGGACUAUGACAGGGUUAGUGAUGGUCUUGUUGGGGAGUUGGAGUGGGGGUUGUUGGUGGGUGAGAGCUAGUGAAGUGUGGAAUGAUCUCCUUCCUUUGCAUUUGGAGUUUGAAAGAUUAGUGUACUUUUCAGGGGGCAGGGCUUACUAUCCCUCGGCUGAAGCAGGUUUCUUCAAGGACAUUGUCUUUUUUGGUCGGAGGGAUUUAUUCUAUCUCCAUUAAUUCUUCUAUAGUUGGGAUAUUCAAGGACAUGAAAAGUAUGUUAGAUGGUACCAUUUGGGUAGCAGGUGAAUAUAAGUGCAGUAUGGUGUAGUGAUGAACAGUAUCACUUGAAAGAUAGAUUUUUGCUAAGAAGCACGGACACGGACACGGAUACGGGACACGGAUACGACACGACAAGGACACGGCGACACGGCAAAUCCAAAAAAAUUUGGACACGGAUACGGCGAAUAGUAUAUAUAUAUAUAUAUAUAUAUCAGCAUUAAUAAUUUUUUAAAAAAAACACUGAUAUGUUUAGGUUGGAAUAUAUAUAUAUAUCACUGAUAUGUUAGUAUAUAUAUAUAUCAGCAUCUUUAGGACACGGACACGGCGAAUUGUGGCAUCUUUAGGUUAGUAUAUAUAUAUAUAUCAGCAUCUUUAGGGUAGUACAAAACAAAAAAUAGAACAUAUCAGCAUUAAAAAUUUAAAAAAAAAAAAAUUAACAUAUCAGCAUUAAAAAUUAAAAAAAAAAAAAAAAAAAAA